CGCCGCCUCAUCCCCAACCUCUCAAACCCUGUAACCCAAACGAAGCACAUCCUAGAAACCCGUUGUUUGUUAUGUGAAACAAUCUCUGGCGCGAAAUCGGCGGAAUAAGGAGCAAUUUUCUUCGAUGAAGAAAAACAAUGGAAUUAGGAGACCAACAAAGUGCCAAUCGGAAGAAGAACAAACCCUUGUCCCAAAAGGUACAAAUUGUCAAAUCUACAACUGUAAUUAUUUAAUUAUUCAGUAGAUGAACCCUAAACUACAUAUAAUCUCCUUAUUGUAUUGACAAACAUAUACCUGCAGACCUAAACAAUCAAGCACGUAAUAAAUCUAAUUGCUAAGAAUUUUGAUUUUCAAUAAGCAGAGAAAAAGAAUAAUUAUAAAAAUGUUUUUACAUACUGUAUCUCUGAAAAUGAGUUCUAACAAAUUGCCAAAAUCCAGAAAAAAGGGGCAGCUAUUGCAUUGCAAACAAUAAGGACAACAUUGGAGAAGAAAAUAAGAUAAGUAUCACCACAAUCUAGGAUAGAAUACUAACCUGAAGUAGGUAAUACAUGCUGAGAUAGAACCCCCUUAAUAAUGGUUGAUUUUUCUAACUUUUUCAUAAUUCAGUAAAGAGUAUUGAGUGACAGAUCUUUAGCAGUGUAUGUAAUCAAUAUUGUAUAGAGAAUAUGCAACAACAUACCAGAGCUAUGUAUAUAUCUCCAAAUUAACAGACCCUUGAGCCGUGGAUAGUUAACCUGACAAACAUUACAUAAUCCAAGAAGAUACAUUUAAUACAUGAUCAACAAUAGACCAAAGUAUGAUUCUUUAACACUACAGCAAUAAUAACGCUAUCGUUAGUUAUGUGCUGGCCUCAGAUUCCUCAAUGAAGCAUGCUAAUCCAACAAAUGUAGGAAAACUGAAUGUUAUCAACUAAAGAAGAAAAAAUAGGUAAAGAUGAGAGAAUCAGAACUGAAGUUUAUCUUGCUUAAGUUGCUAACUAAAGUGGACCUUCUAAUCUGUGACAAUUAAAUCUUUUAAAUAUAUUGGAUUGAAUAUGAUAGGGACAUGAUAUUCUAUUUUAUUUCGGAAGGGAACUGAUAUUCUCUCCGUAUAUUUAUUUAGUUUAUUUAUGCUUUAGUAUUAUUUAGUUGUUAUGAUUUUAUUUACUUUCCAUAGUGGUUAGGAUUUGAUUUGCUUUUGAUUUGCUUUCCUAGUUUAUAGGAGAUCUUUUUGUACCACACAUAUUAUAAAUAUGUGUGGAGUCUUUUAUUAUUAUCAAGCAGAAAGAAGAAUUAAAUUAUUAAUCUCGUUCUCUCCUUCGGUUCUCCCUCUUGAAGAAACUGCCAAUCUACGCUAUUUUCCUCCCGUUGUGCUCUCUUUUCAUAUAAUAUAUUCAAUAGGAAUUAAUCUCAUAUUAAUUAUCAUUCUCUCCAUCGGUUCUCCCUCUUGGAGAAACCGCCAGUUCUCUCAAAGUCACGUUAUUUCAUUUAAUUUCUCCCAUAGGAAUUAACCUCACGUUAAUUCCUAUCAAACUGGUGCUUUCAUUAGGUUCUCAUCCUCCUUUUGAUUUCUACCACCAUGUUCGUCUUGUUGUCAAACUCUCCUCCUCGGUUUUCUGGUGUUAACCCCGUGAGGUGGAUUUUGGAUAUUCAGGAAUAUUUUGACUUUCAAUUGUUCUCUGAUGUUAAUCAUCUGUUUUUUGUGAGGUUGUUUUUUGACCAUCCAGCAUCUAUAUGGCUCCACGAGUAUCGAAGCUCGAAUCCUAAUUGCUCAUGGCAAGAAUUUCUGGAUGUUGUUUAUCAUAACUUUGAUGAGGAUGUCAUUUACUUCGCCGAGACGAAUAAACUUCUUAACAAAAUUAUGGAAGCAGUUGCAUAUUUAGCAAAAAAAAAGAGGUCAUGGCUAAAAAGGAGGCCACAUCUGAUUCUAUCAUCGAGCCCGUUGCAAAAAAUAAUGAUGAACCAACAACAAAUGUCGAGUCUGAUCCCUUCAUCGAAGAUGCGGUAAAAAAUGAUGACGAAUUGCCACAAGCGUUGGAUGAGGCAAUGAAUUUGGUGGAAACCACAUUUCCUCCAAAUUCUCAUAGCCCAAAAAUUAAUGUUGUCGUCCUUGGUUAUGUCAGUGAACUUGCUAAAUAGAUCUCAAGCCCAAAGAUGAUUGCUAAAGAGAUCUCAUGCCCACAGAUGAUUUCUCUAUCACUCGUUGUGGUCCCAAACGAUAUAAUUUUGUUUCCAGACGAAGAUCCAAACAAAGACGGCGGCAAUGAGAUGGAAGAUUAUUUUGUUGACUUCCACAUUGAGGGCAAGGUGGUUUUCAACGGUGGGAGAGUUGAUAGGGACAUGCUAUUCUAUUUUAUUUCGGAAGGGAGCUAAUAUUCUCUCCGUAUAUGUGUUUAGUUUAUUUAUGCUUUAGUAUUAUUUAGUUGUUAUGAUUUUAUUUACUUUCCAUAGCGGUUAGAAUUUGAUUUGCUUUCCUAGUUUAUAGGAGAUCUUUUUGUACCACACAUAUUAUAAAUAUUUCUGGAGUCUUUUAUUAUUAUCAAGCAGAAUGAAGAAUUAAAUUAUUAA